rnacentral:rRNA from 2 species
AAAUUGAAGAGUUUGAUCAUGGCUCAGAUUGAACGCUGGCGGCAGGCCUAACACAUGCAAGUCGAACGGUAACAGGAAGCAGCUUGCUGCUUCGCUGACGAGUGGCGGACGGGUGAGUAAUGUCUGGGAAACUGCCUGAUGGAGGGGGAUAACUACUGGAAACGGUAGCUAAUACCGCAUAACGUCGCAAGACCAAAG